AUGGCGGGGGUUAAUUCUCUAAGGAAUGGCUAUAUCUGGCGAGUUGGAAACGGACAAAAAAUUGAUAUUUGGGAAGAUGCAUGGAUUCCGAAUUUUGCAAAUAGAAAAAUAAUUACUCCUAGGAGGGGGCAACUUUUGUCAAAGGUUUCUGAUCUUAUUGACCCAAUUACGAGUUAUUGGGAUGAAGACUUGGUGAGACAAACGUUGUGGCCAAUUGACACUCAAAGGGUACUUGCAAUCCCCCUUCCGAUACAUAAAAUGACGGAUUUCAUUGCUUGGAGUUUCACAAAAAAUGGGUUGUUCACUGUUCGAUCGGCUUAUUGGGAGGAAUGGAACAAACAACAUGGAAGAAAAUUACAAUAUACGAAUGGUAUGGGUAGAUCCAAUGUUAAUCCUGUUUGGAGCAAGAUCUGGAAGCUAUCUUGUCCGGCAAAGAGGCACGGCGGGGCAGUCUUGAGAGAUGACAAAGGAAGGUUCAUUGUUGGCGGAAGUUGGCGACUUGACUGGUGUGCGGAUGUUCUAACGGCAGAAGCAUUGGCACUGAGGUUUGGCCUUACCCUAGCACAGAAGGCGGGGUGCAACCGCCUUAUUGUUAACUCUGAUAAUACGGAAGUGAUUGACACGAUGAAGAAUGGAGGACAAUCGGCGGGAGCGGCGACGAUUUGA
rnacentral:rRNA from 1 species